CUGAACCAGCCAAGUAGCGUGAAGGAUGAAGGUCCUACGGAUUGUAAACUUCUUUUAUAAGGGAAUAAACCCUCCCACGUGUGGGAGCUUGUAUGUACCUUAUGAAUAAGGAUCGGCUAACUCCGUGCCAGCAGCCGCGGUAAUACGGAGGAUGCGAGCGUUAUCCGGAUUUAUUGGGUUUAAAGGGAGCGCAGGCGGGUCGUUAAGUCAGUUGUGAAAGUUUGCGG
rnacentral:rRNA from 1 species